UAGAGUUUGAUCCUGGCUCAGAACGAACGCUGGCGGCAUGCCUUAUACAUGCAAGUCGAACGAGAAAGUCACUUCGGUGGCGAGUAGAGUGGCGCACGGGUGAGUAACGCGUAGAUGAUCUACCCUUCAGUCUGGGACAACUCUUGGAAACGGGAGCUAAUACCGGAUAAAACCUUCGGGUUGAAAGCUUUAGUGCUGGAGGACGAGUCUGCGUACCAUUAGCUUGUUGGUGGGGUAAGAGCCUACCAAGGCGACGAUGGUUAGCGGGUCUGAGAGGACGAUCCGCCACACUGGAACUGAGACACGGUCCAGACUCCUACGGGAGGCAGCAGUAGGGAAUAUUGCGCAAUGGGGGAAACCCUGACGCAGCAAUGCCGCGUGAGUGAAGAAGGCCCUCGGGUCGUAAAGCUCUUUUAUGGGGGAAGAUGAUGACGGUACCCCAUGAAUAAGCACCGGCUAACUACGUGCCAGCCGCCGCGGUAAUACA
rnacentral:rRNA from 1 species